UCUAUGCUUAUAAGUCAGGUUGUUUUUGUGGCAUCCAGGGGCACAAUGCUGGAGCUGGUAGGCAAGCUAGCACCCAUGGAUUCGUGAACUGGCUUGGAUGUGUACUUGGUCGCCGGGGUUGGAUGAGGACGACGGUAACGAGGGUGACUAGUGAUGUGGCACGCCAAGCAGCAUCAGGGGAAGGGGGUCUCCUGCUCGAGGAGGCGGAGGAGUAGGGGCGCACCCAGCCGGUAGCCCUGUCCUGCUUGAGGGGGAGGGGCAAGAGGGGUCUGCUCCUCUGCUUCCAUUGCGACCGCGGCAGGUAGCUACUCCAUCUCCCUCCCCCUCUUCCUGUGCUCACUACUUCUGCUGCUAAGUUGAUGAAUAUGUGAUGCACUUGUGCCAAGGAAUUUUAGAGGGAUCUGUAUGAACAAGUCAUGUUUUUAUUUUAUUUUAUUUAGGUUGUUAGUUACCAAACA